UAAAGUAUAGGAGAUAGCAAGAAGCCUAGGCGUACUCCUCGGUCCUUCAUGCACGCUAGAGAGAUAAUCGUUUGACUUUUGUAUGUAAGUAAACAGUUCCUUUAUACCUUUGUAAUAGUAACAAUAAAAGAUAAAGGUAAUAAUUUUGUGUGAGAUAAAACUUGUCUUUAUGGUAAAUAUAUUUAACAAUAUUAAACUUUGUGCUUGAGAGCGUUUCUGGAAUGGAGAAUUACAUUCCUGGAUCUGCCAGUUUGCUUAGUGAUGUCGAUAAAAAGUUUUUAAUUGUUUUACGCGACAAUAGAAAGUUUAUUGGCCACUUAAGGUCUAUAGAUCAGUUUGGAUCCUAAAAAAGAAGAUCUUGUACAAUUUUCAGAACUUUCUCUGGAAAAUUUUAUUGAGAUACAAAGAAAGCAAGAGAAAGAAAAACAAAGAAAGUUGCAGUUAAGAAAUAAAAUCAUGCAAGAGAUGGGCUUAUAUAGAAAGAGAGGCCCAACCCUAGAUGAAAUUUUUAGCUUGGACUUAAAAUAAUUAA